AAACCAACCGGGAUUGCCUCAGUAGCGGCGAGUGAAGCGGCAAGAGCUCAAAUUUGAAAUCUAGCACCGCUGGUGCUCGAGUUGUAAUUUGUAGAGUGGAUCCUUGGGGCCGUUCCUUGCCUAUGUUCCUUGGAACAGGACGUCAUGGAGGGUGAGAACCCCGUGUGGCGAGGGGCGCGGCUCCGUGUAAGGGCUGCUCGAAGAGUCGAGUUGUUUGGGAAUGCAGCUCUAAGUGGGUGGUAAAUUCCAUCUAAAGCUAAAUACAGGCGAGAGACCGAUAGCGAACAAGUACAGUGAUGGAAAGAUGAAAAGAACUUUGAAAAGAGAGUGAAAAAGUACGUGAAAUUGUUGAAAGGGAAGGGCAUUUGAUCAGACAUGGUGUUUUGCGCCCCCUGCUCCUUGUGGGCGGGGGAUCCUCGCAGCUCACUGGGCCAGCAUCAGUUUUGGCGGCUGGAUAAAACCGGAGGAAUGUGGCUUCUCUCGGGAAGUGUUAUAGCCUGCGGGAAUGCGGCCAGCCGGGACUGAGGAACGCGACUUUUGUCAAGGAUGCUGGCAUAAUGGUUAUAUGCCGC
rnacentral:rRNA from 1 species